ACUCCUACGGGAGGCAGCAGUGGGGAAUAUUGGACAAUGGGCGAAAGCCUGAUCCAGCCAUGCCGCGUGUGUGAAGAAGGUCUUCGGAUUGUAAAGCACUUUAAGUUGGGAGGAAGGGCAGUAAGUUAAUACCUUGCUGUUUUGACGUUACCAACAGAAUAAGCACCGGCUAACUUCGUGCCAGCAGCCGCGGUAAUACGAAGGGUGCAAGCGUUAAUCGGAAUUACUGGGCGUAAAGCGCGCGUAGGUGGUUCAGCAAGUUGGAUGUGAAAUCCCCCGGGCUCAACCUGGGAACUGCAUCCAAAACUACUGAGCUAGAGUACGGUAGAGGGUGGUGGAAUUUCCUGUGUAGCGGUGAAAUGCGUAGAUAUAGGAAGGAACACCAGUGGCGAAGGCGACACCUGGACUGAUACUGACACUGAGGUGCGAAAGCGUGGGAGCAAACAGGAUUAGAUACCCCUGGUAGGAUAGCG
rnacentral:rRNA from 1 species